rnacentral:rRNA from 1 species
GCUCGUAGUUGGAUUUCGGAUGGGUUUGACCGGUCCGCCGUUUCGGUGUGCACUGGUCGUACCUAUCUUGCUGUCGGGGACGCGCUUCUGGCCUUAAUUGGCUGGGACGCGGAGUCGGCGAUGUUACUUUGAAAAAAUUAGAGUGUUCAAAGCAGGCCUAAGCUCUGAAUACAUUAGCAUGGAAUAACGCUAUAGGACUCUGGUCUUAUUGCGUUGGUCUUCGAGACCGGAGUAAUGAUUAAGAGGGACAGUUGGGGGCAUUCGUAUUUCAUUGUCAGAGGUGAAAUUCUUGGAUUUAUGAAAGACGAACUUC